rnacentral:rRNA from 1 species
GAUGAACGCUAGCGACAGGGCUUAACACAUGCAAGUCGAGGGGCAGCAUAAAAAGUAGCAAUACUUUGGUGGCGACCGGCGCACGGGUGAGUAACGCGUAUGCAACCUACCUAUCAGAGGGGGAUAACCCGGCGAAAGUCGGACUAAUACCGCAUAAAAACAGGGGCACCGCAUGGUGAUAUUUGUUAAAAAUUUAUUGCUGAUAGAUGGGCAUGCGUUCCAUUUAGGUAGUUGGAGAGGUAACGGCUCACCAAGCCCACGAUGGAUAGGGGAACUGAGAGGUUGGUCCCCCACACUGGUACUGAGACACGGACCAGACUCCUACGGGAGGCAGCAGUGAGGAAUAUUGGUCAAUGGGCGAGAGCCUGAACCAGCCAAGUCGCGUGAAGGAAGAAGGAUCUAUGGUUCGUAAACUUCUUUUGCAGGGGAAUAAAGUGCAGGACGUGUCCUGUUUUGUAUGUACCCUGAGAAUAAGGAUCGGCUAACUCCGUGCCAGCAGCCGCGGU